rnacentral:rRNA from 1 species
GAUGAACGCUAGCGGCAGGCUUAACACAUGCAAGUCGAGGGGUAUAGGGAGCUUGCUUCCUAGAGACCGGCGCACGGGUGCGUAACGCGUAUGCAAUCUACCUUUUGCAGAGGGAUAGCCCAGAGAAAUUUGGAUUAAUACCUCAUAGUAUGUGAGGAUGGCAUCAUUUUCACAUUAAAGUCACAACGGCAAAGAUGAGCAUGCGUCCCAUUAGCUAGUUGGUAAGGUAACGGCUUACCAAGGCUACGAUGGGUAGGGGUCCUGAGAGGGAGAUCCCCCACACUGGUACUGAGACACGGACCAGACUCCUACGGGAGGCAGCAGUGAGGAAUAUUGGACAAUGGGCGCAAGCCUGAUCCAGCCAUGCCGCGUGCAGGAUGACGGUCCUAUGGAUUGUAAACUGCUUUUAUACAGGAAGAACACUCCGACGUGUCGGAGCUUGACGGUACUGUAGGAAUAAGGAU